UUAAUACCGCAUACGUCUACGGGAGAAAGGAGGCGCAAGCUUUCGCUAUCAGAUGAGCCUAAGUCGGAUUAGCUAGUUGGUAGGGUAAAGGCCUACCAAGGCGACGAUCUGUAGCUGGUCUGAGAGGAUGAUCAGCCACACCGGAACUGAGACACGGUCCGGACUCCUACGGGAGGCAGCAGUGGGGAAUAUUGGACAAUGGGGGCAACCCUGAUCCAGCCAUGCCGCGUGUGUGAAGAAGGCCUUUUGGUUGUAAAGCACUUUAAGCAGGGAGGAAAAGUUGAUGGUUAAUACCCAUCAACCGUGACGUUACCUGCAGAAUAAGCACCGGCUAACUCUGUGC
rnacentral:rRNA from 1 species